rnacentral:rRNA from 1 species
AUUGAACGCUGGCGGCAUGCCUAACACAUGCAAGUCGAACGGGGUGUAGCAAUACAUCUAGUGGCGGACGGGUGAGGAAUACAUAGGAACUUGCCCUUAAGUGGGGGAUAGUCCGGGGAAACUCGGUUUAAUACCGCAUGAUCUCGUGAGAGCAAAGCAGGGGACCGCAAGGCCUUGCGCUUUUGGAGAAGCCUAUGUCGGAUUAGCUAGUUGGUAGGGUAAUGGCCUACCAAGGCGACGAUCCGUAACUGGUCUGAGAGGAUGAUCAGUCACACCGGAACUGAGACACGGUCCGGACUCCUACGGGAGGCAGCAGUGGGGAAUAUUGGACAAUGGGCGCAAGCCUGAUCCAGCAAUGCCGCGUGUGUGAAGAAGGCC